AUACGGAGGGUGCAAGCGUUACUCGGAAUCACUGGGCGUAAAGCGCGCGCAGGCGGCUUGAUAAGUUGGAUGUGAAAGCCUACGGCUCAACCGUAGAACUGCAUCCAAAACUGUCAAGCUAGAGUCUGGGAGGGGAAGAUGGAAUUAGUUGUGUAGGGGUAAAAUCCGUAGAGAUAACUAGGAAUACCAAAAGCGAAGGCGAUCUUCUGGAACAGUUCUGACGCUGAGGCGCGAAAGCGUGGGGAGCAAACAGGAUUAGAAACCCCGGUAGUCC
rnacentral:rRNA from 1 species